GGAGAGGAGGGUGGCCAUGAGGGGUGAGAGUAAAUCAUGAUGAGACGUUGUGAGAGGAGAGCAGGGGUGAUCAUGAGUUGUGUGAGGGGAGCUCAUGAAAGGAGAGCAGGGGCAGCCAUGGACUGUGACUGGUGGCCAUGAUGGGAGACCUUGAGGGGAGAUAUUGAGGGGAGAUGAGGGGUGGCUGUGAGGGGUAGGGGUGGCAGCUAUACAGAGUAGGCUUCUAUGGCAGGUAGAUGAGGAGUGACUGUGAGUGGAGAUCAUGAGUGGCAGUCCUGAGGGGAAAUGUUGAGGGGAUAUCAGUUUGCCCUUAGUGACAUGGUUUAGUGGUGGGCUUGGCAGCACUGGGGUAAUGAUUGGACUCAGUCUUAGAGGUCUUUUCCAACCUAGCUGAUCCUAUGAUUCUGUGAUGCUGCUCUGCUGACUACAGGGAAGGAUGCUCUGAGGUUGCAUCUGCAUUGUGGGGCUUCCAUGUGCUUUGUUUUCUCACCCCUAUUCUGGAUACAAAGGAUCAAGCUACCUGAUUGGGGGGUGGACACGGACACAUUGGAUGUUUCUGAAACUCACCCCCUCCUGGGACAGGGCUUUUUUUAGACUGAACUAGGAAGCGCAAACCUCACCCUUAGCUUCCUCAAGGGUUUGGUUCUUCCUAGAGUUUUCUCCUUGCUGGAAAUUUCUUUUUUGCACCUCUGGCCCUGAUCCAGACACAUGCUUAAGCACACACUUAGCUUCAGACCCUAGCCCCCUGCACUCCCACAAGUGACUUCUUGGAUGAGUCUGUGUGUCCCUUCCUGCCUUGGGAAAGCUCAUGCCUCUCUAUGCUCCUGCUAUGAGAUGACGCCACCAUGGCAAGGGGGUUGGAACUAGAUGAUCUUGAGGUCCUUUCCAACCGAAACCAUUCUAUGAUUCUAUGAUGCGUCUCCUUUUCUCGCCACUAGCAGCAGGAGGCAGGAGCAUCACCUUCUUUUGCUAUGCAUCUGCCACAAAACUAGCCCCAUACCUAUGCAGGGAGAGAGUUAUCAAAUCUCUGGUGAGGGCAUGUGAAUGCUGCACCUGAAGAUCUGGUGUCCCCAAGAACUGAACACCUGCAGCUCUGAGAGCUAAUGUCUAUGGGCCAGCCCAUCCUCAUCCUGCCUGCUCUUCUCACCAGGGCAUGACAAGGCUACAGUGACAUCAGUAAGUAACAAAAGACUGGAUCCUCUCAAAGAAUUCGAGGAGGAGAUAUUAGAGGUAUUGGGCAAAUGCUCUCCAAAGGACAUGGAAACUGUAGCAGCCUGCCAUCCCCCUGCAAGAAAAAUGGAGUGAAAGCACAUGAGAUUUAAGUAAUAAAAAAUGUGAGUUUAAUGCA